CUACGGGGCGCUCCAGUGGGGAAUAUUGGGCAAUGGGCGCAAGCCUGACCCAGCAACGCCGCGUGAGGGAAGAAGGUUUUCGGAUUGUAAACCUCUGUCCUUGGGGACGAAGAAGUGACGGUACCCAAGGAGGAAGCUCCGGCUAACUACGUGCCAGCAGCCGCGGUAAUACGUAGGGAGCAAGCGUUGUCCGGAAUUACUGGGCGUAAAGGGUGCGUAGGCGGCAUAUUAAGUCAGGUGUGAAAUACUCGGGCUCAACCCGGGGGCUGCAUUUGGAACUGAUAUGCUUGAGUGUGAGAGAGGAAAGUGGAAUUCCUAGUGUAACGGUGGAAUGCGUAGAUAUUAGGAGGAACACCAGUGGCGAAGGCGACUUUCUGGCUCAUAACUGACGCUGAGGCACGAAAGCGUGGGGAGCAAACAGGAUUAGAUACCCUCGUAGUC
rnacentral:rRNA from 1 species